rnacentral:lncRNA from 10 species
GCGUGUCUUCAAAACAAGAGAUGGGUUAAAAAAAUUGCUGUAGAUUUGAUGAGUUUCAUCUUUGGUGAUCUGAUUGAGACUCCAAGAGAUGCUACACAUGUGUACGUCCCAAAAUCCGUGAAUUUUAAAUCAAUGAUGUCCAAGUUUGUUGUUCCCGGAGAGACAUCAGGAUCAGUCUGUGUAAUGACCAUCCGCUCAGAACUUCUUAAUGGACGACCAUUUUUAAACCAACUAAAUGUUAGCUCCUCAGAAGGAACAGCUUCUACUUGGCAAGAUAUUUUCACCUCACGGCCAAUCUGGAUGUUGUCAUCUUUGUGAUAAGGAUCUGGUGUGAUCCAAAAUCGUCCUUUUUUUAAUGCUACAACAUAAAAAUUCCAUAAGGAGUUAGUGUUACUUUCAUAACUUUAAGGAUUCAUUAACUGUAGAUAAUCAUCUCUGAGCUGAAAUAAAGUAAAACCAAAUAAAGUGUACAUAUAUUUCUUUUUUAUAUCCAAGUUGUGUGUACAUCAAAAAACCUCAUGCAGGUACCCAGAAAUAAUCUAAAAAAAUCUAAGUCAAUUAAAGACUGUGAACACUGAUUUUUAUAAAUUUGGUAAGAUUUUCCAGUGAUAUCAAAAGUAAUGCCUUAAGUCUAUGUGCAAUUAUACUUAAAUAUUGACAUUGAAUUUUGAACAAAUGACAGAUUCUAUGUAGUCAUAGCAUAUUAAAAUUAAAAGUAAGAAUAUGGAUCUCAUUUAACCUAAUACUUUCCCUAUGUCACUACUUAGUUAUUGUAUAAUUUUCCAAACAACUCAAAUAUUACACAAAGGACAUAAGAACAUUCUCCUAAGGUUGUAUCUAUAUGUUGAUCAACACUAGUUCGGUAAUAUUUGAGUCCAUUCACAUUCAUGAAACAUUUUCAUAUAUUGAAAUAAUCUGAACUGAAAAAGAAAACCUGGGGCAAAAAGCAUGUUCAAAACAUUUACUAUGAACUUUUCUAUUCUACCAUACAUAGAUGUUUCCAGUUAAAACUGUUUGUUGGCUCUCUAAUGCGGAUGACCAAAAGAACCUCUCCACAGACAGCUUAGAAAACAGGUUUGUAUGCUAACAGAAAUGUUUUCCAGGUCUAAAGGCAGUGCUGUUUUCACAAGAGGUCAGUAGUAAUGACUACCAAAAGGCUGCCAAGGGAGCAUCUAUAGACUUUCUACUAAGGGCCUGAACUUUGAAUGAUACCACAAUACUCAAUAUGGAAAAGCUUUCUCUCUUUUGUGACAGUGAUUCUCUUAUACACAGAUUUUUCUUUUUUUUUUUUUUCAUCAUCUUCCCCAUUUCCCUCUCCUUUAAAAUGACUAUCCCUACAUGACAAAAUGUGGCAUACACAGUGAAACACAAUUAUCAGGAUAAAAUAUUGGUCAUCCACUUUUAACAUUAAGCCUAAAUAUGUAAUGAUAUUGUCAAAAAUGCCAUGAAUUUAGAGGACCUACAGACACUAGAAGGCUGCUAACAGCAUUCUGGAUAGCCCCUCCUUAGUUUAACCAUAUUUUUGUCAGUUAGUCCAAUAAAAACCAGUAAGCACUAUAAAAAUCUAUAGAAUCAUGCAGAAUGAACUAGAGAUAAAUAUACUUUUAAGUCUUAAAAACUUUUCUAAGUUUUAAAACUCUUUAGCCUCAAAUAUUUUCAUCUGCUUUCUUGUUGGCAUCUCAAUAGGAAGAUAUACAUAGAUAUCAAAAACAAUGUUUGUGUCUUUCUUUUUCAUUUAAGAUAUAUUUGAAGGGCUCCUCCUCAAGACUAGCCACUAGGCUGGGUUCUGACUACAGGACAUGAACAAAAUAGACAUAACCAUGGCCCUCAUGUACUGCAGCCUGCAUAUUCAUAGAUUAGAGGCCAACUUAUUCACACAACAUUUAUGAUACUUAUGUCUAGAAAAACCACAGACAUAUAUAGCGAUGAAAUAUUUUAUAUGCCUGAAGAAGUUUCAAUCUCAGAGGACAGCCUCCCUGAAUUACUGUUUAGAAAAUGCACUAAGUUUUAAUCUUAAUGAAAACAUGAGAAGACAAAUACUUAAAUCACAUUCUCAUACUGUCAUUUGUUACAUUUUUCCAUAAUAAAAUGCAACUUAUGAAUCUUAUUUACCCCUAACCAUAUCUUUAUCAGUAAGUUACUCUAGGGUGAAAUUAGGAUACAUUUUGGUAUUCUGUUACCUAGAAUCAUAUAUUCAUAUUUUCACAGGCACUGACCUAUGACUUUACAUUGUAUUUGGGAAGGGAAAUGUGAUGAAAUGUCCAUAUCUGGCUGCCAUAUUUGGUAUAUAAUAAUUGUGCUCAUACAAUGCCAAUGUAAUUGAAGUUUUACAGUACAAAGCAAAUCAUAUGAGUAUAAAAUAUAUUUUCUGUUAAAAACAGAUGUAAAAUUUAAUGUCAAGAGCAUUUACUUUUAUUAGCACCAUAACAGUUAAAUGAGAGUUUCCCUUCAUUUGCUAAGAAUUUUCUUUAUCCUGUUUUUAAAGAGAAAUUUUAAGAUUACAAUUUUGAAAGUUUUAUUAUUGCAUAUAAUAAUUUAUUAAUAACCAUAUGACUAAUAUCAGGGUUCAUAUGGGAUAUCUUUUAGAAUAGUUUUCAUUACAAAGAUAUAUGUUGGUUGCAUAUGUAAACACACACAAAACUGAGAUGUUUAAGUGGUUGUCAUUUAUUUACCAUGCAGCUAUUGUUUUCCACUUCUGUGCUCUGCAUAGUGACAUAUUAAAGUGAUAUUGAGAGAACUGCAAUCUUACCAGCCAAAUUAGAUUUAAAAUACUAAACAACUCAAAAAAUACUGAUAAAAAUAUGAAAUCAGUAUCUGUAUUAUGUUAUAGAAUAUUUAUUCAUAAAAACAACUUUAAAACCCAAAGAAAAAAUAUUAGAGAUUAUAAACCCAUAAUCAAUUAAUACAUAAGAUUAUAUGUAAUAUACAAUUAGACAAAUUAAUAAAAAGCAAUAUAAUCAAGCAUGCUUUUAAGAGUGAACUCAUAGCGAAAAACAUUGGUGAAUCUUAGUUAUCAGAUAAUUCUAUGAUUUGGCCUAAGUCAAUUGUACUAGUCUUCUGAAUGACACAGAAUCUAAAGGGAAAAAGAGAAACAAGUCUGCUAAGUGAGCUCAAGUUAAGGAACAUCAGAAUAAGUAACAGAUUAUUUAAUAGAGAGUCAUUUCUGUUUAUGUUGUCCCUCUAACAAAAUAACAUAACUGGUUUUGCAUACAAAAAAGAAAUGUUCAGAUAAAAGGUGUGUGUGCGUGUACUCAUAUAUAGUAACAGAGGACAGAGAAAUUUUGUUUUCUUACUUAGCUCAGAAAACUAAGAGCAUAGCUCUGUAAACUAGGUCUGGGUACAUUGAGAAUUUGCAACCUAAUUCCAGUUUUUCAUGUCUACGUGGUCCAAGAUGGGCAAUCUAAUUUUUAUGGAUCAAGUGCAUCAUUUAUGAAAAUAGAAGGUGAUAGAGUUAGGCUCCCUUAGAGACACAUUGUGAGAAAUAGCUUAUUAACAAUUGUGCCUGAGUUUUGAAAAUAUAAAGUGUUUGAUGUAGUUAAUCAACUGGGCAGCAGGUUCCUUCGUUUAUAAUUAAACGCUCUCUUUUUCCGUGAACAAUUUAUAGUAGCUCAUGUAAUGUUAAUUUAAAGUCAUUUCCUGCUACCAGUUAAGAUUUUAAACUCUUAAAAUCAAUCUGUAAUUAGUACUGGAGUAUAACAGAGGUCCAAUAGACUUAUUGAGACUCUAUAGAACUAAACAAAUUCUAUGGAAAAAGGAUAGCAGAAAUCCCUUUCCCCAAAUGCAAUUUCUCAGUCUGAAUAUUGAAAAUCCCCUAACACCAGCCUGAGAGAACAUUAGAUUUGGCUUAAUGUAUCAUAAAUCGUGAUAGAUGAACCUUAAAAGGUACUUGUUUAGUCUGGCAGUGCAUGUAAAAGAUUGGCAUCAAGCUGAACCUCUGUUCUGGAUAAUCAGUUUGGAAACAUUGCAAUGUAACUAUAGCCUCCCUUUUUUAAUAUUGUGAAUUGAAUACAGGCUUGGCCUAUAUUCACUUUUUAACAGUAUACUUGCAAGGACAUUCUAAUUGCACUUACUGAAAUCCCUCUUCUUCAGGCUACACAGAUGUGCUGUGUAAAUGGAGUGAAACCCAAGUAUUGAAACAGAGGCUACUCACUGCAAAAAUUUGGGUAGGGUUUGUUGCUCACCUUCCCUAGAAAUAAGAGUCCAUGCCUGUGAAUGUGAAUGUCAAUGGUUCAAUGGAAGACUCCUGUUAUGUAAAACUAGAUUACAUCUUGAGCAUAGGCUUGAAAGAGGGAACAUUGCCUUCAGAGAAGUCUAGGCUUGUGGUUUCCACAAAGAGGAGGCUGUGAGAUUGUAUCUUGAUUGUAGUUUUAGAUUUAAAAUUAUAACGUACAUUGUUUUGUUGGUCAAAUGUUCCAUGAAGUAUGCAAUACAUAGUAAUUCAAUAAUAAACUAAAAUUUAUUGACAGAACAAAAAAAGACAACAGUCUUAUACUUUAAUGUGAAAAGCAUCUCUUUGGAGAUAAUAAAUAUGAGGUGUCAGCUUUUUAGCUUCUGUUAAGUAUCUAUUUCAGAAGAAUGUA